GCCCCGACACGGGCGCGAACCAGGGACCUUCUGCACACAUCAACAACGGUCGCCCACGAAGCAUCGUUACCCAUCGCUCCACAAAGGCCGCGAUUUGAAAUACAUAUAUUAAUUACUUCAGAGUAUUUUGUCAUUUGAAUGACACUACACACUCUAAAAAUUUGCAGCUCAACAAGGGUUCUUUUAAGAUCCUGAAAGUUCGUUGAACUUGGCACUAAAAAUUGCCUCCAAUAGGUUCUUCCAAGAACCCCAUAGAAGGUGGGGUUAAUCCUUAGUUGGUGGUGGCUCUUGGAGGAACCUAACUGCCCAACUGAAACAUUUGGAUUUGAAAGGACAGCAGGUGCAGGCACUUAACUGAAACAUGUAAAGAUCUCCUCAAUCUAAGCUCUUCAAUGACUAUCCCAUAGGCCUCUACAUUAUGGACAAGACUUCACCCUCCCUACACCUCAUGCAUUUAACAGGAAACCUGUUCACCAUGCACUGCAAAAUAAUUCUGGCUGUGGAUACGGAGAAC